rnacentral:rRNA from 1 species
CUUGGUCAUUUAGAGGAAGUAAAAGUCGUAACAAGGUCUCCGUUGGUGAACCAGCGGAGGGAUCAUUACCGAGUUUACAACUCCCAAACCCAAUGUGAACCAUACCAAACUGUUGCCUCGGCGGGGUCACGCCCCGGGUGCGUCGCAGCCCCGGAACCAGGCGCCCGCCGGAGGGACCAACCAAACUCUUUACUGUAGUCCCCUCGCGGACGUUAUUUCUUACAGCUCUGAGCAAAAAUUCAAAUGAAUCAAAACUUUCAACAACGGAUCUCUUGGUUCUGGCAUCGAUGAAGAACGCAGCGAAAUGCGAUAAGUAAUGUGAAUUGCAGAAUUCAGUGAAUCAUCGAAUCUUUGAACGCACAUUGCGCCCGCCAGUAUUCUGGCGGGCAUGCCUGUCCGAGCGUCAUUUCAACCCUCGAACCCCUCCGGGGGGUCGGCGUUGGGGAUCGGGAACCCCUCAGACGGGAUCCCGGCCCCGAAAUACAGUGGCGGUCUCGCCGCAGCCUCUCCUGCGCAGUAGUUUGCACAACACGCACCGGGAGCGCGGCGCGUCCACGUCCGUAAAACACCCAACUUCUGAAAUGUUGACCUCGGAUCAGGUAGGAAUACCCGCUGAACUUAAGCAUAUCAAUAAGCGGAGGA